CUUGUUCAGAGAAGUUUAGAAAGCAGAGUAAGAAGGGCUGAACAUGGUUUGAUGUUCUCUCGGUGCUGGAGACUCCUCUGUCAUUACAGCUUCAUCCAUUCUUGAAAGAAGUCCAGUUCUACUCUAAUACUUCAGCUGAUGGACAGUACUUGGAUGAGAAUGGGGCACUGACCAUUGACUUUGAUAUUGUGAAUCUGGUGCUGUUUCCUAAUAACUCUCUUGCUAGAGUGAAAAUUGGAAGAAUGGAGAGACAAGGGUCCUCAAAUCUGAAGUUCACCAUUAACCCAGAAGCAAUUGUCUGGCCCAAGCUAUUUAAGAAGGUAGGAGAAAUGUUAUGUUAUUAACUAUGACAUCUGCUAUGCUCUAACACCAUUUUGAAUAGUACAUAGAAGCAUAGAAUCUUAGAAUUGUAGAGUUGGAAGGGACCCUAAUGAUCAUCUAGUCCAGCCCCCUGCAAUGCAGGAAUUUGAGGUUAUAUUAUGAAACAUCAUGUAUAUGUUGGUUGAAAGAAUGGAUGAAAUUAGAAAAUACACUCCCACAGUAAGGUCAUGGUUAUUUCCCUGUCCUAUGAUCUGUGUCCAAAGGCAGAAAUAUUACUAAUACUUUCUCCUUAGUGCUCAAUCUUCUCUUUAUGCCUAGACCAUACCUCGCUCAAGAUGCACAGAAAGCUGUCUCCCAGGAUAUGCCAAGAAGAUUCAGGAAGGAAAACCAGUGUGCUGCUAUGAUUGUGCUCCUUGCUCAGAAGGGACAAUCUCCACUGUGGAAGGUAGGAGAGGAUCUCAGAGGAUUUAAAGGCCUUUGAUGGGAGGAUGGGGCAAAUGUUUGAGCCAACCCAAACAUGAUGCUACCAAUGACACCCCAUAAAUGAAAUGCCAUCCCCAGAGAGGUUUCACCUGUUGCCAGCCUGCAAUGUUUCCCCAGAAGCAGGAAAAUUUAUUUGCCCACCAGCUCACACAUGUAGAAUCAUUCUGGAUUUUUUUUUUUUUUUAAAUCACCUCCAAUGUUGCAGGGAGUCAUGUCAGUGAAUCUGGUCCUGGGAGCUAUUUUGAUGGGUGAGGGACAAGUGCACAAGACAGUCAGUAUUGGGUUCACCAAAUGUGUGACCUCAGGAGUCUUAUUGGUCUGCCAUGGAGUCAGUCCGCACUACUACCAGUGAGAGGACCUGCCUAUUUCUCAGAGGUCUCCAGCAGUUCAGGGAUGGUGGUGGUGAUGAAAAAUUAUACUACCUCAAGUUCCUUGGAGGAAUAAGAUCCAAAUGUAAUAUGUGAUUUUUUAUAAUAAAAUAUAUAAUAUAAUAAAAUGAAGUUGGGCUUCACACAUAUGCUUCUCAAUACUGGAACAUGACAAGAAGCUGCAUUUAUACUGAGUCAACCCAUUGAUCCCUUUAACCGGUCUUCAUGCUAGAUCUUCAUUUCCCAGGCCAAAAGUAGCAGCUGGGUGCUGCUGCCAAUUUGUCAAUCACCUGAUGCAAUAGCAAUGUCAGCUGAAUUCAUGCUUUAAAGCCCUGAGUGUCAGCAAUUCAACGCACAGUGAGAGGCUGUCUGAAAAUUCUUUGCAAGCAAUGCGACAGCAGCGGCAAGAAUACUUUUUGGGAAAUACUGGAAGACACAAGAAUUGCCUACCCGAGAAGAAUGGCAG